AAGCCAAUCUUCAAAUUCAUAUGGAAAUGUAAGGGCUCUAAAUAGACAAAACAAUCUUGAAAAAGAAGAACGAAGUUGGAGGACUCACACUUUCUGAUUUCAAAACUUACUACAAAGUUACAUAAUCACAACAAUGUGCUACUGGAAUAAGAACAGAUAUACAGAUCCAUAGAAUUUUCUCCAAGGUGGAUUGUGUUGCUGCUGUCAAGUGUUUGAAUGAAUGCUCCAGACAUCUCAAAUUACUAUAUUCCAGUCCUAGGACUUGAGAUUUUCUGGGCCACAGAUGAUUAUUAGGUUUUGACAGCAUCUGUACCUCUACAUCAUGCCGAAAGAUGAGAAACAACUUCCAGAAGUGUUCUUGAGCUGUAAAUGUGCCUUUGCUGUGGCCAUCGCUAUUACCCCUGUGAAGGACGGGAAUUUUCCACACGAGUCUGAGAAGAUUAAAAUGACAUGAAGAGAAAGGUAUGGCCCAGCUGGUCGACCAGCCUCAGUCUGCUCUGAGCCGAGGCCCUCGUUUCCCAUUUCACCACACCCAGAUGUGCCCUCUGACUUGGAAAUGGAGAUUGAAUUUAGUUGUAAGAAGAGUGGAAGCAGAGAAUGAAGGAGGAAAGUGCCUGAGUUUUGGCUGAAUGCCUCCUCCCAGUGGAAGGAAAAUCAAAGAAAAUUUCUCCAGUUUAGGCCCAGUGGAUGGCCUAUAAUCCAGAGAAAGGCAAAAGACAGAAAUGAUACACGCAACUUGGCGGAGAGAGACAAGCCAGAAGAUUGGGAAAUUAUGAAGG